CCAGACCCCGCGCGGCGAGCUCGACCCACCCCGUUGGCCUCCCCCCAGACCCGCGCGCCCUGCCACCAACCACCUCCCACCGGCGGCCGCCGGCCCCAACGCCUCACCCGCCGCCGCCACCCCCUCCCCCCGGCCCAACGCGCCUCAUUGCGCCGCCGAACCCCCGCACCACCGCGCGCCGCCAGAUCCCCGGAGUCCCGCGCGCUGCUGAGACCCGACAUCCCAGCGCGCCGCGCCGCGAUUUGGUUCGGUCCUGACGAGUUUUCUUGGUUGCCGCCGCAGAGGUGGUGAGCGGCUUCCUCUCCAAUGCGGCGUCGGCGGUGUCCGGCUGUGGUCGCUCAAAUCGACGGUCAAGACAGCGAGUGGAGGGCGGCUACACCGUGGAGACGGUCUUCGACGGCAGCAAGCUGGGGAUCGAGCCGUACGACGUGGAGGUCACCCAGGGUGGCGAGCUGCUCGUCAUGGAUUCCACGAACAGCAACAUCUACCAGAUCGCGCUGCCGCUGUCCUGAUGAGGAGCUGGAGUACGCGGAGCAGAAUAGCCUCUUCUUCCUAGAGACGUUGGCAAACAUAGAGAAGACGUCAGAGGAUCCCGGUCGCCGAGCCGGUGUAAUUUUUCUGUGAAAAUCGAAGUUAGUAUGGCUCAGAAAGAAGGAUUUGUGUCUGCAGAGAUCUAUGUGCUGCUGGUGCUCACUACCCGCGUGAACAUAGGAAUGAAGGUCACCAUCAGGCAGGGGAGAAGAUCACAUGAUGUGCAGAAAGAAGGUCAGAGUUCAGAACGAUGUGUGUGAUCUUUGUGCUUUUUUGGGGGUGCAUUUCCACAUGGGUUUGUGAUCUCACUUCCGAUUUAUGUUUUCAUCGCGUGUGUCCGACCACACGUAAAACUGCAGGGGACAACCGGUCCUCGCCCGUGCCAUUAGUGUGGUUAUCUCCCCUGAAUGAGCAGUAGUGCUCGCAUGUAGCUCUCCCUCUAUGGUUCUUUAUCCCCUGUUUGUGUUUAUGCUUAACCUUGUAAACAAUUCAAUGUAUGAACUGUACCUCUAUUGCUCAUGUGUGUACAAUGCCUGCUAGAUGAAGCUCAAUGUGCGAAAAAUAUGGUUUUUGUUUAUGUGGACCUCA